GUUUGAACCUGGCUCAGGACGAACGCUGGCGGCGCGCCUAACACAUGCAAGUCGAACGGGAGAUUUCCUUCGGGAAAGAUCUAGUGGCGGACGGGUGAGUAACACGUGAGCAAUCUGCCUUUGGGAGGGGGAUAACGUCUGGAAACGGACGCUAAUACCGCAUAAUGUAUGGUUUUCGCAUGGGAAGCAUACCAAAGAUUUAUCGCCCAAAGAUGAGCUCGCGGCUGAUUAGCUAGUUGGCGGGGUAAAGGCCCACCAAGGCGACGAUCAGUAGCCGGACUGAGAGGUUGAACGGCCACAUUGGGACUGAGACACGGCCCAGACUCCUACGGGAGGCAGCAGUGGGGGAUAUUGCACAAUGGGCGAAAGCCUGAUGCAGCGACGCCGCGUGAGGGAAGACGGUUUUCGGAUUGUAAACCUCUGUCGAGGGGGACGAAGGAAGUGACGGUACCCCUUGAGGAAGCCACGGCUAACUACGUGCCAGCAGCCGCGGUAAUA
rnacentral:rRNA from 1 species